rnacentral:rRNA from 1 species
UUUACUGGAGGAAGGUGGGGAUGACGUCAAAUCAUCAUGCCCCUUAUGAUUUGGGCUACACACGUGCUACAAUGGAUAAUACAAAGGGCAGCGAAUCCGCGAGGCCAAGCAAAUCCCAUAAAAUUAUUCUCAGUUCGGAUUGUAGUCUGCAACUCGACUACAUGAAGCUGGAAUCGCUAGUAAUCGUAGAUCAGCAUGCUACGGUGAAUACGUUCCCGGGUCUUGUACACACCGCCCGUCACACCACGAGAGUUUGUAACACCCGAAGCCGGUGGAGUAACCUUUUAGGAGCUAGCCGUCGAAGGUGGGACAAAUGAUUGGGGUGAAGUCGUAGCAGU